UAGAGUUAUAUAGGGAGGGAUACUGUAUUUCCUGUUUUUAACGUCAAAGAAAAUUUACAUGUCCAUUGUUUUUUAAGAAUAUCAUUUGUUCUUAUUACAACCAAACUUAACUUAAAAAAAAAUAUACAAUAACCCAUGCAUCCUUUUUUGUAUCAAUUGUCCUGAAGUUCUGAUUAAGACAAAAGUUUAAUUUUAGAUAUUGAAUAGAAGCUGAGGAAGGGGCGAUAAUUGGGGGUUAAAUGUUUUUAUGAGAAAUUAUUUUUUAUCUUCAUGAAGUGUCAUUUUUGAGACACAUAAAGGUCACGUUAAAAUGACUGCCUUAGGGAAAGAAGGUUGCAUGAUUUUUUGGUGUUGUAUGUAACUUAGCUAAUGUGUCUUGGGUUAGACCCAUCAAUAAUGAAUAUAACAAGUCAUGCAUUGUUUAACGUUCUAAACGUCGGAGUGGCCAGUGCUUUAUAACCCGCGUUUUCUUGCAGUGAAGCAUCAGUUUAUCAUUGCACGUCUCACUAGCCGGUGUUUUGGAACACGCAGGGAGUGACUUUAUAUCCAUAUCUCUUCAUACAAACCAGUUAUCACAAUGAAGUCCUGUCUGGCAAUCGUCUUUGUUGUCUCUUUGGCUGUAACGCAAGUCACAUCACAAGGUUUUAGUGACAUGCAACGUCUACUAGCUAUGGACAGAAUGGGAUUGGACAUUCCCGAUAGCGUAUUAAAUUACCACAUGUUAAGGGGCUUCGGUUUCCCCGGUCAGGUGACCAGAACAAGCAAUCCAUUGACAUCGACCGGAAUUUUAAACACUCCAAUGAUCCUGAAUCGAAGUCGAGGGAAGACCAUAAAAUCGGAACCAACAACAUCACCCCCUCGUCCUAAUCUCCGUGCUCGAGCUGAUAUUUCCUCACUCUUUUCGAAUCGGUCACCAAAUAGGAACACACACAAUGACAUUUUUCAGGGAAUGAAUCCAUGGUUUAUGCAUCACCUCUUGGAUAAUUUCGUUUGAACGAGAGACCGCUGUGUAUUUCCUAUCUUAUUUUUAUCCAUUCAGUCUAAUGAUUACAAUAUCUAACACAUUUUUAACCUUUUUUUUUUUUUUUUUUUUUUACAAAACAUAUCUUUUUCUCUCUUUUUUUUUUUUAUACAUUAAUUGGACAAGAAUGCAUGUAGAACUAUCUAACGCUAUGAAAAAUGUCCCCAAAUAUAGACACAAAGCAUGGAUUUUCUAAUGAAGUAGAAAAGAUAAAGGAAAAUAGCAUUCUUUAGAUUUUGAAUUUUUGCAAUUUAAAAAAAAUCGGACCUUUUUAAGCAUGCGCGUCUUAUAUGCAGUUUCCUGUUUAUUAGGUACACGAGCGGUCUCGAGGCGCAGAGCCGAACAGACAAUAUCCUCCCAGCGAACAUCUAUAAAUAGUCCAAUGUCCAAUCUUCCAAUUUGGGCGCUUCAUAACGAAAAUAUGAUGGAGUACUUAAUGUUACAACAAAUGUUACAUGGGGCACCAAGUUCCAACCAGCAGCCUCAACCGGGUCUUAACUUCGCAAACUAUUUUUUCAUGGAUAUGUUAAUGUGAACUUUGAACUUUUAAUCUAGGUCAACUGAGUUGACGCUUUACCUCUAUUUAACAAUCACUUUUCUUUAUUAUAUACUUUGGUAUAUUCUAUUAAAGGUGAACUUCUGA